rnacentral:rRNA from 1 species
UACGUAGGGUGCGAGCGUUGUCCGGAAUUAUUGGGCGUAAAGAGCUCGUAGGCGGUCUGUCGCGUCGGUCGUGAAAACUUGGGGCUUAACCCUGAGCUUGCGGUCGAUACGGGCAUGACUGGAGUUCGGUAGGGGAGACUGGAAUUCCUGGUGUAGCGGUGAAAUGCGUUGAUAUCGAUAGGAACUCCGGUGGCGAAGGCGGCAUACUGGUCCACUUCUGACGCUGAGGCGCGAAAGCCAGGGGAGCAAACGGG